CCUAACACGUGUGGGCUGCUUGCUGUUUACAACCUGUUGCUACUGUGGCUUAAUGUGUUUGCCAUGCACUUCGACUGUUGGGAGAUGUGGGAUGGGCUGACGCCGGGGAAACGGCUACCCAUCCCAGCCCCCCUCUGCUCUGCAUGGCCACAGAAGUGAAACCAUGGCCAGACAGACACCUUCCUCUUGAGAGUCAACAGACAACAACAAUUCAGCCUCACGGAAGUUUGAUCAGAAAAAUGUACACAUUCAUUC